rnacentral:snoRNA from 1 species
ACUCUUCAGUUCCCCUUCCCAUCAGACCUGAGCUCUCUUCUUGGUGGUCCUAAAAGGACAAGUAAUACUAGAGCUGGCCUUGUGAUGUUGCAGUCUGAUAUUUAACUUGGUGGCUGGUUUCAAACACAC